UUUUUUAACAUUUUUCGUAGGUUGAGCAAGCACAUGCUGCUAUAGUUGCUCUCACUUCAUCUCAGAAGACAGUAAACCAGAUCCGGGAAAACUUUGUGCCCAUUGAAAGCCUUUCCGACCAUAAAACCAUGGCGAAACAAUAAGAGACGUGGGGAGCUGCUAGGACACCAACAACUUGAUGCUAUGUAGUUGAGUUCAGGUCUUUGGUGAAUGAAGAUGUUUUUUAAGCUCUAUACUUUGUUGAUAAAUGUUGCUAAUGUUCCAUUUUUUGGAUGUAUGUUAGGAGUUGUUUUGAUUUUUGAUGUAUACAGCUAGGGGGUUUUAUAUUUUUUUGGUGUGAUGUAAUGAGAGAUACUCUUCAUUUUGUUCUUUGGUUGGGGAUUUUGAUGAUUAUAUGUAAGUGGAUUGUAAUCA